CGCCGUCAAUUGUCCUCGCGCAAGGCUUCGGCAACCCGCGCCUCCAGCAGGUCGGGCCGACGGAUGACGAGGGCGCCCCUUGUCCGGUCGAUCAGGCCAUCGGCCGCCAUCACGGUGAACUCGCGGGUCACCUGCUCGCGCCGGCAGCCGAUGCGGGCGGCCAGCACGUGGUGAUAGGGCGGCGGCGUCACCACCCGUUCGCCGUCGCCGCCGGCGCGCGGCACGGACAGGCGCAGCAACUCGGCAUAGAGGCGGUGGCGCAGGUCGAGGAGCGCGUGUUCCAUCAGCCGCGUGUUGAGUUCGCGUACGCGCUUGGCGAGCAGGCGGAACAGACGGUCGGCGAUGGCCUCGGAGGCGAAGAUCAUCUGCCGGAAGAUCGGGGCCGGGAC
rnacentral:tmRNA from 1 species